UACGUAGGGACCGAGCGUUGUCCGGAAUCAUUGGGCGUAAAGAGCGUGUAGGCGGCUUGCUAAGUCUUGCGUGAAAUCUCGGGGCACAACCCCGAGCGGUCGUGGGAAACUGGCAGGCUAGAGUGCGGGAGAGGAGAAUGGAAUUCCUGGUGUAGCGGUGAAAUGCGCAGAUAUCAGGAAGAACACCCGUGGCGAAGGCGGUUCUCUGGAACGCAACUGACGCUGAGACGCGAAAGCGUGGGGAGCAAACAGG
rnacentral:rRNA from 1 species